GCGGCAACAGCUCAAAUUUGAAAUCUGGCUCCCUUGGGGCCCGAGUUGUAAUUUGUAGAGGGCGCUUCGGCGUCGGCCCGGGCCUAAGUUCCUUGGAACAGGACGUCGCAGAGGGUGAGAAUCCCGUACGUGGCCCCCGGCCUUCGCCAUGUGAAGCCCCUUCGACGAGUCGAGUUGUUUGGGAAUGCAGCUCUAAAUGGGAGGUAAAUUUCUUCUAAAGCUAAAUACCGGCCAGAGACCGAUAGCGCACAAGUAGAGUGAUCGAAAGAUGAAAAGCACUUUGGAAAGAGAGUCAAAAAGCACGUGAAAUUGUUGAAAGGGAAGCGCUUGCAGCCAGACUUGCCCGCAGUUGCUCACCCAGGCCCACGCCUGGUGCACUCUUCUGCGGGCAGGCCAGCAUCAGUUCGGGCGGUCGGAUAAAGGUCCCGGGAAUGUGGCCCCCCUCGGGGGGUGUUAUAGCCCGGGGCGCAAUGCGGCCAGCCCGGACUGAGGUCCGCGCUUCGGCUAGGAUGCUGGCGUAAUGGCGGCAAGCGGCCCGUCUUGAAACACGGACCAAGGAGUCUAACAUCUAUGCGAGUGUUUGGGUGUCAAGCCCGGGCGCGCAAUGAAAGUGAACGGAGGUGGGAACCCCUUGGGGCGCACCAUCGACCGAUCCUGAUGUCUUCGGAAGGAUUUGAGUAAGAGCAUAGCUGUUGGGACCCGAAAGAUGGU
rnacentral:rRNA from 1 species